GCGCCUGUAGCUCAACGGAUAGAGUACCUGUCUUCGGAACAGGCAAUAGAGGUUCGAUUCCUCUCAGGCGCA
rnacentral:tRNA from 4 species